rnacentral:tRNA from 1 species
GUUUAUAUAGUUUAAUUAAAACUUUACAUUUUCAUUGUAAAAAUAAAAUAAAUAAAUUUUUAUAAAUA